CUCCCGUGGCGGAAUUGGCAGACGCACGGGCCUUCCUGAACCUCUGACCUAGGUCAUAGGUUGAGGAAGCUCUGGUCCUUCGGGACGUGCGGGUUCGAGUCCCGUCGGGAGAA
rnacentral:tRNA from 1 species